rnacentral:rRNA from 1 species
GACGAACGCUGGCGGCGUGCCUAAUACAUGCAAGUUGAGCGCUGAAGGUUGGUACUUGUACCGACUGGAUGAGCAGCGAACGGGUGAGUAACGCGUGGGGAAUCUGCCUUUGAGCGGGGGACAACAUUUGGAAACGAAUGCUAAUACCGCAUAAAAACUUUAAACACAAGUUUUAAGUUUGAAAGAUGCAAUUGCAUCACUCAAAGAUGAUCCCGCGUUGUAUUAGCUAGUUAGUGAGGUAAAGGCUCACCAAGGCGAUGAUACAUAGCCGACCUGGGAGGGUGAUCGGCCACAUUGGGACUGAGACACGGCCCAAACUCCUACGGGAGGCAGCAGUAGGGAAUCUUCGGCAAUGGACGAAAGUCUGACCGAGCAACGCCGCGUGAGUGAAGAAGGUUUUCGGAUCGUAAAACUCUGUUGGUAGAGAAGAACGUUGGUGAGAGUGGAAAGCUCAUCAAGUGACGGUAACUACCCAGAAAGGGACGGCUAACUACGUGCCAGCCGCCGCGGUAA